UACGUAGGGGGCUAGCGUUGUCCGGAACCAUUGGGCGUAAAGAGCGUGUAGGCGGCCCGGUAAGUCCGCUGUGAAAGUCGGGGGCUCAACCCUCGAAUGCCGGUGGAUACUGUCGGGCUAGAGUGCGGAAGAGGCGAGUGGAAUUCCUGGUGUAGCGGUGAAAUGCGCAGAUAUCAGGAGGAACACCGAUUGCGAAGGCAGCUCGCUGGGACGUCACUGACGCUGAGACGCGAAAGCGUGGGGAGCAAACAGG
rnacentral:rRNA from 1 species